GCCUGGUGCCUGGCUGGACUCCAGGUAUUCUAACAGAAGGGGUGCAGCUCUGAAAAAAAUGCAAACAUCCUAGAGAUUUCUCACAACGUUUAGAUUUUUAUCCAUUUUCUCAGUUCCCGAGUCACUCCUAAUCCUUCCAUCCUCAUCAGUGCAAAUGUGCUUUUGAAAAUAAGAGGCAGUGAGAUAUGGAGUAUCCUUCAAAGAUAUUUAAACCUUAUGAAGUAAUGCUCCAAAUACAGAAAACAACUGAAGCAAUGAUUCAGGUUUCCCAACGAGUUCCUGGCAUGGUACAUUUUGGAGCACUUAGUGAAUGUUUAUUGAAUAGGUGAAGAAAGAAGUAUCACGCAUUUCUGCAGAUAUAAGUAUUCUUAUUUGAAUACAUCACCAAUCUUUGUUCCAGACCGAGAGAGGUUGUAAUAGUAGAUAAUUUAAUAGAAAGAAUGGCACUUUUCUCUCCAGUAUUAAAAUGAAAGUGGAAUUCCUGGGAUAGAAUUGGUCUAACAAAGAUAAAAAUCAGGAAAUUAAUUUUCAGUGCGUCCAGCUUCUAAAUCAAAAGUCAAAACCUUCCAUUUUAUGAUCUGAAUUCAUCUUGCAGUCCUAUUUUAUUUGGCCUUCGCGGUGUUUUCAAAAA